ACCUGGCUGGUUCAGUCAGUAGAACAUGAAACUCUCAAUCUCAGGGUUGUGGGCUCAAGCCCCACAUUGGGUG
rnacentral:tRNA from 1 species